rnacentral:lncRNA from 1 species
ACAGUGACGCAAAAACAAGCUUGCUUGUUGAGAAAGGAUUUAAAGUAAAAAAAAAAUAAGGAACAAAAGGACUAGUGCUAAACCGAGGUUCUACCUGAGCUUUGAGAGACCUAAGGAGAAUCUAUAGGAUACCAGCUUGUGUUGGGGAGCUGCCUGUCAUAUUUCAUUACAAGGCUUCAUAUUAGCCAUAUUACAGCAUACAGAGCAACAACAGAGAGAGAUAGAGAUCAAGACAUCCCACUUCCAUAGGCUGUUGGUCGAAAUGAAUCGUGAUAACUUGGUUAAAGUGUUGCUCUCGCUGAGACAGAUGUAUAAUCGUCGUGCUCGCCUCACAUGUAACACAAUUACACAACUUGAAAAAAAAAAAAAAAAAAAGAGAAAAUCUCCAUCUGGGAUACAAUGAAACAAACUGUGGCUGUUCAGAACAUACUGUCUCAGGUGAAGAAAGAACAUACUGUCUCAGGAAGUGACGUAAUGUGUGAGGGAAUAAACGAGGUAACAAUUAUGACAUCACUAGCGAACUAAGCUACGGACGAAUAUCUACAUUAAUGCUACUCGUGACUACCAAUGUAAUAUCAAUAAUGAUGAUUCCUUUUUUUUGUGCUUUUGUUUUUCUUUUUUCUUUUUUUGUCUUUUUUCUUAAGAAAUUCAUAUAAACGUGCUGUCUGUGCAGUCGUAUGUUGAUGUCGUUAUUUAGUCAUCUGCAUACUUUCCAUAGAAAAAUAUUUGCAAAAAGCAGAGAGAAAGUGCUGGACGUCUGCAUUGAGAAUCGUCAAGUGUUCUUCUAAGUGUUUCAUGCCAUGAUAUCAACAGUACGGUUACAGUUUCAGUCAGUGAGAACGUGACAGACAUUUAAAAAAGCGUCCUUAAUAUAGACCAGAUUUGAAUGUGCUCCAAAACGUGUUUUUCUUCGUCUGUGUUCAAUUGAAAUCACAUGUUCAUGAUCAGAAAAGAGUCUUUGCAAGUUGAUUUGUCGGUUCUGACAAUUUGGUCCACACUACAGUAUAGUCUACAAAUCAUUUCAAGAGUUUCCACACGCCAAAUCCAUAUGUGAACUUCCUCCAGCAUGGGGGAAUCCUACUGUUAAAAUACAAUAACAUGGUCAAAAACAUCUAAUGAAUGCAUAAAAAUGAUUAAAACGACAUUUGGGACCAAAAAAAGUGAAAUUAACUGAUCAAAAUUACCAUUUCCUUUGUCAAUGUAAGUAACUUGUUCAUCCAGCUCAACUAACAGAGUAAAAUAUAUGAAAAAAAAAAAUAAUAAUCAAAAAAAUGAUAAUCUUCAGAAUUAAUCAAUAGACAUGUAUCAAAAGUACAUCAUUUAAAUGUAAUCCAAUACUGCCGGCAGUCUAUUAGUCUAAAAAUAUGUAACCUGACCUUUUAUAGUCCCUUCCAUUACACAAAAAAAAGAACACGUAUAACAAUAUAAGACAUCAAUAUGUAAAAGACAGCAUCUAUAAAUAAGCAAACCACACCAACAAACAAAAAAAUAUCUACCAUUAGUUUAUGCGUGUAAAUAAAAAGAACUUAAAUGUACUAUGUGAUAUGCUGCAGGACUGCUAAAUAGCUUAGGGACGUGAGGAGGUGUUUGCUUCCACUGCCUGUGGCGAGUAGUAGUAGUAAUAUACAAAUAUAAAUCGCUCUUGUAAACAAUCACACACACACACACACACACACACACACACACACACACAC